rnacentral:tRNA from 1 species
UGUGGCUCAGUUGGUAGAGUGUUUGUCUAGUAUGCAAGAAUCGUUGGGUUUGAUCCCCAGCA